UAUCCCCUGCGGUGUCCGUAACGGUCAGCCGUUCUUUGAACCAAUGCUUUAUGCGCGGCUGCCAGUUUCGGAGGUUGGUGUUCGCAUUUAUUAUUGAAUGCGUCUAAAGACCUCGUCAGGCGGCCCUCUUGGACCCAGGUUCAAGAAAGUGACCGGACGGCACAGGCGGGGGACCC
rnacentral:other from 1 species